UGUAUAUCAACUGAUCCACAGU
rnacentral:miRNA from 15 species